rnacentral:tRNA from 1 species
GGUUCCAUGGUGUAGUGGUUAUCACAUCUGCUUAACAUGCAGAAGGUCGUGAGUUGGAAACUCGCUGGUACCU